AAUAAGUGCAGUUUUACACUAUUUACGUUCAACGUUUGACCGUUCGUCUUAUUUAAAAAUUUUUUAUGAUUAGUAUUUUUAUUUCUAUUAGAUGAUAAAACAUGAAUAGUACUUUAUGUGUGACUAAAUAUUUUCAAAUUUUUCAAAUAAGACGGACGGUCAAACGUUCGGCACGGAUAUUCAUGGCUGCACUUAUU
rnacentral:pre_miRNA from 1 species